rnacentral:rRNA from 1 species
UACGUAGGGGGCAAGCGUUGUCCGGAUUUAUUGGGCGUAAAGAGCUCGUAGGUGGUUCGGUAAGUCGGAUGUGAAAUCUCCAGGCUCAACCUGGAGGGGUCAUUCGAUACUGCCGUGACUAGAGGUCGGUAGGGGAGUGUGGAAUUCCUGGUGGAGCGGUGAAAUGCGCAGAUAUCAGGAGGAACACCGGUGGCGAAGGCGGGUCUCUGGGCCGAUACUGACGCUGAGGAGCGAAAGCCAGGGGAGCAAACGGG